rnacentral:ncRNA from 1 species
UAACCCUUGUCGGAAGGCAAGACUACACUGGCAGAAGUCAGCAGAGGUCAUAGUACGUAGAAAUACGGAAGGAC